AAUAUUGGACAAUGGGGGCAACCCUGAUCCAGCCAUGCCGCGUGUGUGAAGAAGGUCUNCGGAUUNUNAAGCACUUUAAGUUGGGNGGAAGGGCUUUGGGUUCAUACCCUGAAGUUUUGACGUUACCAACAGAAUAAGCACCGGCUAACUCUGUACCAGCAGCCGCGGUAAUACAGAGGGUGCAAGCGUUAAUCGGAAUUACUGGGCGUAAAGCGCGCGGAGGUGGUUCAGUAAGAAGGGGGUGAAAUCCCCGGGCCUAACCUGGGAACCGCUUUCAUAACUGCUGAGCUAGAGUACGGUAGAGGGUAGUGGAAUUUCCUGUGUAGCGGUGAAAUGCGUAGAUAUAGGAAGGAACACCAGUGGCGAAGGCGACUACCUGGACUGUUACUGACACUGAGGUGCGAAAGCGUGGGGAGCAAAC
rnacentral:rRNA from 1 species